rnacentral:rRNA from 1 species
UACGUAGGGGGCAAGCGUUGUCCGGAUUUAUUGGGCGUAAAGAGCGUGUAGGCGGCCAUACAGGUCCGUUGUGAAAACUCGAGGCUUAACCUCGAGACGUCGAUGGAAACCGUAUGGCUAGAGUCCGGAAGAGGAGAGUGGAAUUCCUGGUGUAGCGGUGAAAUGCGCAGAUAUCAGGAGGAACACCGGUGGCGAAGGCGCCACUCUGGGCCGAAACUGACGCUGAGGAGCGAAAGCGUGGGGAGCGAACAGG